rnacentral:piRNA from 1 species
UGAGGACCCAAAACCUUCUUGCUUGGAAAG